CACCAGGCCUGCAGAAACCAUAGCAACGGGCAGUCUGGAGAUUCAACCAUUCAUCUCCCUUUUGUCCCUUGCUUUUCUGCCAUGGUGCUGCGCACAUGGACGCUCCAAUUACAGCAGAAAAAAUGGGUCUGUCGAAAGAACAGGCUACAUAAUUGGAGUUGCCGGAUUCCUUGUUAUGAUGAGUGUUUCACAUCUCAGCCCACAUCAGACCCCUCACACCCGCCUCACCGAGACAGCACUAACGAAGCAGACGGAAAUGGCAGGUGGGCUUUAUGCACAGCAUAUCAACCAUGGAACAGCUUAGCAGAGAGGAAGGCCUGGACAUAUGGCUGCCUACAUAGGACCCCUCUGAGCCAAAGGGAUAGCAACCAUCCCUUCUCUUCCAGAAAGGCCAGGUAGAUCUAACCUGAAGGCAAAACCACGUGCACUGAGGCCAAACUGAUUAUGGA
rnacentral:lncRNA from 1 species